rnacentral:rRNA from 1 species
GGAAGGGGUGUAUUUAUUAGAUUAAAAACCAAUGCCCUUCGGGGCUCCCUGGUGAUUCAUAAUAACUUCUCGAAUCGCACGGCCUUGCGCCGGCGAUGGUUCAUUCAAAUUUCUGCCCUAUCAACUUUCGACGGCAGGGUCUUGGCCUGCCAUGGUGACAACGGGUAACGGAGGGUUAGGGCUCGACCCCGGAGAAGGAGCCUGAGAAACGGCUACUACAUCCAAGGAAGGCAGCAGGCGCGCAAAUUACCCAAUCCCGACUCGGGGAGGUAGUGACAAUAAAUACUGAUACAGGGCUCUUUUGGGUCUUGUAAUUGGAAUGAGUACAAUUUAAAUCCCUUAACGAGGAACAAUUGGAGGGCAAGUCUGGUGCCAGCAGCCGCGGUAAUUCCAGCUCCAAUAGCGUAUAUUAAAGUUGUUGAGGUUAAAAAGCUCGUAGUUGAACCUUGGGCCUAGCCGGCCGGUCCGCCUCACCGCGUGCACUGGCUCGGUUGGGCCUUUCUUUCUGGAGAACCCCAUGUCCUUCACUGGGUGUGGUGGGGAACCAGGACUUUUAC